CAAAUAAGUGUUUAUCUCUGCAGUUUUCUCCAGCUGUGUGGUUGUUUUUUUUUCUUUUUUCCUUUUUUUUUUGC
rnacentral:ribozyme from 1 species